CAAGAUUUGAGCAAAAGCGAAGAACUGCAUCCUCACCUAACCUCCCUCCUCCUCCUCCUCCUCCUCCUCCUCCUCCUCCUCCUCCUCCUCCAGCGGAUUGUUUGGAGGGGCUCAGGCGGCUCGUGUGGCCCCUUUUCACAUCUCCGCGGAGCGUCAGAGGGAUAAAGUCCUCCAGCGGAGCUCCAUCACCACAGCGGAGAUCCAUUUUUCUCUUUUGCUUUUUUUUCAUCUCAUCUCAUAAAAUGGCAACCAGGAGUGACCACGGAGGAUCAGAAGACGCAUUGGGUUCGGAGCUGGGAGAUUAACCACCUGAUGGGCGCCAGAGGAGCCGCGCAGGGACUGUUGUGGUGUCGCUUGUUGACUUGGUGAUUUAAAAUGCCGAACCAAUAGUUGGACGGAGCGGCUGCGUAACAGGCUGUGGCACCGGCCUCACAUUUUUUGGUUAUGGUAAUGAUGUCAUAAAACCCUGGCGGCGGGGGGGAAGCUGAGCCUCAGUCUUCUAUCAUGUAACACGCAGCGCGCUCAGCGUGGACCUGGCUGAGGUGUGACUUUCUCUGAUUCUCUGCUCAACGGUUUGAUGCCUCAUUUCGCGGCUCUGCGCGCUCCGAGCUGCACCUCGCGGUAACUGAAGCCUUCACACGGACUGAAAAUGGAGUUUGCCAUGGUGGGCGCGGACGGCGGGUGCAACAGUCACCUGCCGUACGGUUAUGCCCAAGCCCGCGCACGGGAGAGGGAGCGCGAGAGGGAGCGCCAGGCUGCUGCCCAGUCGCGAGCGGCGGCCGCAGCGGCGGAGGGCGGAUGCGGUGCGGAGGGAGGCGGCGGCGGCGGAGCGAGCGUGGGGGGGUCCACCUCCACCUCCACCUCCUCCGGCGCUCAUCUCCUUAACAACCGCCAGCAUCAGUCUCGCGCCGCCUCCUCCUCCGCCAACAUCAGCGGCGGCGGCACCGCCUCGCGCCCCUCCUCCUCCUCCGCCUCCUCCUCGCAGCAGCAGGAGCCCGAGCAGCAGCACAGACUCCUCAGAGAGCGGAAAAAGCAGCGCGGCGUCGGACGCUGGAGACGCAACCGGACGACUCUCGGCGGAGACCUGCGCCACUCGGAGCUGGCGCUGCUCGGAUCCGAGGAGGACAUCAUGAUCGAGGAGGAAGAGGCCGAGGGAGCCGAGGAGGAGGAGGACGAGGAGGAGGAGGGCGGCCGGGGCAGCAAGAGGUCGAGCUUUCUGUGCAACAUGGAUGAUGAGGAAGAGACGGUGUCGAUCACCGACCGGCGGCCGCAGUCCGGUUACGAGAACGUUUACAGCGAGUGCGGCUGCUGCGAGAGAGUCGUGAUCAACGUGUCCGGGCUGAAGUUUGAAACUCAGCUCAAGACUCUCACUCAGUUCCCGGACACUCUGCUGGGAGACCCGGACAAGAGGAUCAGGUACUUCGACCCGCUGAGGAACGAAUACUUCUUCGACCGGAACCGGCCGAGCUUCGACGCCAUCCUGUACUACUACCAGUCCGGCGGCCGGUUAAAAAGACCCGUUAACGUCCCGUUCGACAUCUUCUCCGAGGAGGUGAAGUUUUACGAACUGGGGGAGGAGGCGAUCCUCAAGUUUCGGGAGGAUGAGGGUUUCGUGAAGGAGGAGGAGAAGCCGCUGCCGGAGGACGAGUUCAAGCGGCAGAUCUGGCUCCUGUUCGAGUACCCGGAGAGCUCGAGUCCGGCCCGGGGCAUCGCUGUGGUCUCCGUCCUGGUCAUCGUCAUCUCCAUCGUCAUCUUCUGCCUGGAGACGCUGCCGGAGUUCAGGGAUGAAAAAGAGUAUCUGCAGCCACGACACAACUCCUCUGAGCCGGACCACGGCUUCACCCCCUUCAACGACCCGUUCUUCAUCGUGGAGACGGUCUGCAUCAUCUGGUUCUCCUUUGAGAUUAUAGUCCGCUUCUUCGCGAGUCCGAGCAAACCCGCGUUCUUUAAAAACAUUAUGAACUCGAUAGACAUUGUCUCCAUUUUGCCUUACUUCAUAACUCUCGGCACGGACCUGGCGCAGCACCAGGGCAACGGGCAGCAGGCCAUGAGCUUCGCCAUCCUCAGAAUAAUCCGCCUGGUCCGGGUGUUCCGCAUCUUCAAGCUGUCCCGACACUCCAAGGGGCUGCAGAUCCUGGGUCACACCCUGCGGGCCAGCAUGCGGGAGCUGGCCCUCCUCAUCUUCUUCCUGGUCAUCGGAGUCAUCCUGUUCUCCAGCGCCGUGUACUUCGCCGAGGCGGACGAGCCCACGUCUCAGUUCACGAGCAUCCCGGACGCGUUCUGGUGGGCCGUGGUGACCAUGACCACGGUGGGCUACGGAGACAUGAAGCCCAUCACGGUGGGCGGGAAGAUCGUGGGCUCCCUGUGCGCGAUAGCGGGCGUGUUGACCAUCGCGCUGCCGGUGCCGGUCAUCGUGUCCAACUUCAACUACUUCUACCACCGGGAGACCGACAACGAGGACCAGUCUCCGGUGGUGGAGAGCAUGCCCCCGGGCUGCCCCUACUUCCCGGACUUUCUACGGAAAUUCAAAGGCUCUCCCUCCGGCUCCUCGCUGGGUGACAAAGCGGAGUACAUGGAGAUGGAGGAGGGGGUGACGGAGUCUCUGUGCGGGCUGGACAAGAGCCCCAGUAAAGGCAACGGCACCGACAUCAGCAGGAAAAACAGCACUAACUCCAAAUCCAUUCAGACUGACGUGUGAUUACAAGCAGUCCUGCAGAGGAACGCGCCCUACUCAACAGGUGAUCCCCAACACAACGUUUUACGCACGCCUCAGAGCCCACGCACACGCACACGCGCACACACACCCACAGGCCACCAAUUGGCAGGUUCAGAUUCUCCUCCACACCGCGAACCUUAGGAGCAGCUCUGCCUCGUAGGUUCAUCAAUUAGUCCAUCCGACCUGUGCGUGCUUCCAAAUCUGACACGGAAUCCAAAUUGUAGAGGAACCAGGCUAUGCAUUCGCACUUUAUGAGUUUCAUCUGUCAAUAAGACGAAGGUAGGGACGAUCGUUUUGCUGUUAUGCAAUAAAGUUUAAAAUUUGUUUGCACUAAUGUAGAAUUUCGCGCUGGGUUUGGCAGAUUUGUAUUUACAGUAGAGACAGAAGCUGUAGGCCAUGGAAAUGGCAAUAAUUUAGUCAUCCUCGGACCACUUAGCAGAAGAAUGUUUCCUCAGCAAACUGCGGAUAUUAAGAACCCCGUUCAUGCGCUGCCAGGAAAAAAAUUGGACUCCAAUAAAUGAAAAGACAGAUAAAAGAUUUUCUAACAUUAAUAAAGAAGCUCAUUGAUAAGACAGAGCAUUUAGCAGCAGGCAUCUAAUAAACCAGGGCUACAGUCGUUUCUAUGACAUCCACACAGAUAAACGCUUUUCCACAUCAGGCCAAAACAAACAGAACGCCUCGUGUUGUUGUUGUUGACCCACGGAGAGCUAAGCACAGGAACCACCCGUUAAACUGGCUGGAGAAAUGACUCGCACCAGGUUUUCUAUGGACACUCUUGGAGCCUUGGCGACAGCAGGUCUUUUUCUUUUUUCUUUCCCAGUUUCAUUUCAAACCACCUCAAAAUGACAAUAUCCCUUUACACGGACGCAGAUGGAAAGUCACAGCAAAAAUGACUCUGUCGUGGAAACUCCUCGGAGGGAAGUUUACGACAAAUUUUCUCUCCUGUCCGCUGGACUUGGUGCACAAAAAUAUUUGUUUCUUUUUUUUUUUCCUCAAGAGGACUAUAAUUAUCUCGGAGCUCAGAGGACCAUCGGGAUGUGGACGUCUUCCAAGACGUCAGCCGGAGAUGUCCAAAAUAGCAGCAUGGAGCUGGCCCAAGGAAAAGGAAAAGUCCUGCGAACAUAAAGGCUGUGUUCACCCUCGGAGCGCUGCCAGUUACAGGGAGAGGGAGCAUCGCCCCCCUACAUCUCUGGGAAUCGCAGAUAAACAAGCAAAACAUUGUGACCGGGUAACCUCGAGCACGAGCGGACACCGAAAAAGCAACAACUGGGACGGGACUGGGCUUUUUAUUUUUCCGUUUCUUCUUUGUGGACGAGCGGAGAUGAACGGCUGCUGCAUGGUUUCAGUAAACUGAGACACUGAGAGUUUCAAGUGAGUAAGUCGUGGCCCCAAAAUGAUUGCCUUAAUUACUACACAUAUACAGACGUAUGAAGUGACGCUACUAAGAGACUUAUACAACAAAAAAAAGAUGUUUUCUUUACAUGUGAAAAAAAAGUGUCUUGUAAGGAACAGAUGUGAAUAUUUUACUAUGAUAGAGAUACUGUUUGGUCGUGACGUCGACAUAAUGUUUUAGUUGGGUCGGCUUCGUAGGUGUUACUAAAUGGUGAGUUUGCUCUCUGCUUAUGUGCAGCCGGCAGUGAUCUAUUUUUAUCUUGUUUCAUAUCGUCGACCAAACCAAGGCUGGCCCCGAGUCACUCGCCAACGACGCCGGCGACGGAAAAUCCACAUUCAUUCUACCCUCACUCAGACAGCCUGUAUAGAGGGCUGGGAGAGAAAUCUACGGAGCAGUUUAAUGCAACAAAUACAUCAGAUAGGACAUCCUCUCACAUUAAGAUCCACACCUACACUAAAGCAAAGAUGUCAGGCACAUAAACACUCGUCAUAAACAUCCACUCACUUUCUACCACGGAGGACGGAACUCAACCUUUUGUUUUCCACAGAUGCAAAUUUAGAGCUGACCAGCUGCUUCGUCGAUCUGUUUUCACUUUAACUGUAUGCAAAAGUAACAUGGACGUGUGUUCUAUAUUUUUUUAAACCUAGCCUUGAUAAUUACAUAACCAAAGGUGAAACCCUGAAUCUAUUCUAUGUCGUGGACUUCUGGAACAUGUUGUGAUAUAGAUGCACACCGAAUAGGAGAAAAAAAAUGUAAAUACCAGACGUUUCUACCUGUGUGUCCUCAGAUGUGUUGCGGAUAGAGUAAUUUGAGACUUUUUACUUUCAUUGACUGUUACGACCAUCGACCAUAAAUAAUCUGUGUUUGGUUUGUCCUCGCUGAUACAAUCAUGUCCUUCAUAUUGUUGCGAAUGCUGCUGCGACAUGUUUCAUUACUGUCUUCUUCUGCUUUUACUUUCUUCCCACUCCCAUUGAGAAUCCUCAUUUAUUUGGCAAGCUGAAGGGUUGCUGAAGAAGUGUUUGUUACCUCUCUUAGACCUGCCUGUGAAUGAAGCGGUUUAAGAAAUGACAGUCGCAUAUUUUUAUGAGAAGACGGCGUUUUAUUUUCCUAUAUUUUCCUCUACAUACUGUGUUAGCUAUAACGGCACUUAAAGCUUGAAUUUAGAGUGUCUUGUUCCUCGACUCCUAAAGAAAAUCCAAAGUACUUUGCUCUUUUUUUCCGAGAAUUCGUAUCUGUAAUUACCUCAUGAAUAGUUUCCCUCAGAAAAGAUGUUUACUGAAUGUUACCAAGAUUUCUUUAGUGUCAAAAGAACCUGUAACCACAAAAUAGCCACAAUAGAUUUUAAACAGAUGUCAAUAGUUUACUCGGGAACUCCUUACAGGGGUUUUGUUUGUUAUUUUUGGGGGGUGGAAGGAGGGAGGAGUGGACACAAAUUAAGUUUGUCAUUUCUGCAAACCAGCAGGUUUACCAGAAACGCUGCACCGGAGCUCAGACACUGACAAAUCUGCAAAGUUUUCACUUCUUUAAAAACAGCAGAAGUAAGAAAGAAGAGAAGAAAUAGUUGAUCUAAAGGAAACUGAACUGAAAUGCAAUGAAGACGAUGGAUUAUAUUUACAUUUAUUUAGGGAUUGACUGAUUAUCAGAGUCGAUAUUCUGCAUUUCACUAAAUAUCAGUGUUGUUAUUUUUAACUGAUUCCCCAAAUUAAUUUAAAAAUGCCAAUAAACACUAGAGGACAAAUGUCGACAACUUCUCUGUUAGUUAAACACAAACAAAAAAGGACAUAUCAACAAGGUUUUGCAGAAUUUUUGCUGCAAAUGCAUACCAGUAAAUACCAGUAUUGAGUAUCGGGGUCUUUAGCACUGAAGCUGAAAGUUUGGAUGCUGAUAAAUCUGCAAGGUUAUCAUUUCUUUAGAAAAUUACAGAAAAACCAAAACAAAGAAAAGAAAGAGUGAAUCUAAAUUCAACUGACCUUAAAUGGAACAAAGACGGUGGAUUAUAUUUAGGGACUGAUUGAUUAUCAUGGCCAAUAUUCUGCAUUUUUCUAAAUAUCUGUCAUUAUUUUUCAACCAAUUCCCAAAUUAAUUUAAAAUACAUCAGACACGAGUAACAACCAAACUGAUCAAGUUCUCCUUUAAUUAAAUUUAUGGAAUCCAUCAUCAACAAGGACAUAUCACUGAAGACUUGUGUUGAAAUGUGUGUUUGACGAAAGGAUUUCCGUUUUACUGCAAACUUAGAUCGACUCUAAAUAUCAUUUUUCAGUAUCGGCCCUAAAAUAAACCAGAAUGGUCGACCAGUAGGUAUAAUAACUUAUUCAUCAUAUAAAAGUAAUUAAGGGAAAGUAAAACUAAUUAAAACACACAUUUUACAAGAAUUUAUCAGGAUAUUUAUCACAUCUUUAAAAAGUAAAACAACUAAAGUAAGAAAGAAGAGAAGAAAGAGUUGCUAGACAUUUUUUCUGCAAAUGCAUAUCGAUUUUAAAAAUCAGUUUUAAGUAUCGCUCCUGAAAAAAAAAGUAAUCAGUCGAGCUUUAAGUAUAAUAUCAGUUUGUUCCUGCAUCUUACAUGUUUGGAGAUCAAAUCUUUAAAAUGGACAUUAAUCCUGCAAGUUUAUGAAGGCAAAAGUAAUGAAAAGGAAAAUAAAAUCAAUUAAAACAUACAUUUUACACGUUUUUUCAGGAUAUUUAGCACAGAGACUCAGAGUUUAGACCAUGACAAGUCUGUAAAGGUGUUACAUGUAAAAAAAAAAAAAAAAAAAAAAAACAACUAAAGUAAGAAAGAAGAGAAGAAAGAGUUGCCAGAACAUUAGUUUGUGGCUACGUCGUAAGUGUUUGGAGAUCAAAUCUUUAAAAUUCAAGUUUAUUCUAUUACUUUGGGAAAGAAAAUGCUAUAAAAGUGGAGUGAAACAAAUGAAAACACAUUUUUUUCAAGAAUUUAUGAGGAUAUUUAUCACAGAGACACUAUAAACUCAGAGUUUAGAGACUGAGAAAUCUGCAUCUAAUCACUUUGUAGUAAAAUGUAGUCUCAGCCCUGCAAAAAAUACCAACAUAUUGAAGUAUAAUAUCGGUCUUAAGUGUUUGCAGAUCAGAUCCUAUAAUUACAAGUUUAUUCGAUUAGUUUAUAAAUGCACAGGUCAUGACGAGAGAGUGGGACAAACAAAAAAACACUAAUUUAUGAGGAUAUUUAGCACAGAGACUCAGAGUUUAGACCCUGACAAGUCUGUAAAGGUGUCAUGCCUUUCAAACAUUUCACAACAACUACAGGAAGAAAGAAGAAAAGAAAGAGUUGACAGAUAUUCUUCUGCAAAUGCUAUCAAUUUAAAUACUAAUUUUAAGUAUCUGACCGGAAAAAAAAAAAAAAAAAACACCAAAAAGGAUAAUACCAGUUUGUUCCUUUGUCUUAAGUGUUUGGAGAUCAAAUCUUUAAAAAGCAAGUUCAUCCUUAAAGUUUAUGAAUGCAAAGCUAAUUAAUGGAAGGUGAAACUAAUGAAAACACAUAAAUUUACAAGAAUUUAUGAGGACAUUAAGCACAGAGACUCUGGACAGCUCAGAGUUUACACAAUGACAAAUCUACAAAAGUUAUCACUUCUCAAAUCAUCACAAAAGUAAGAAAGAGUUGCCAGAAUUUUUACUGCAAAUACAUUUCCAUUGUAAAUAUGAUAUUAGUUAGUCGCUGCAUCUGAAGUGUUUGGAGAUCAAAUCUUUAAAGUUCAAGUUAAUACUAUUAUUUGGGAAUGAAAAGGUGAUAAAGGUGGAGUGAAACAUAUAAAAACACGCCGUUGUUUCGAGAAUUUAUGAGGAUAUUUAUCACAGACACUCUGUAAAGCUCAGAGUUUAGAAACUGAGAAAUCUGCAUCUAUUCACUUUGUCGUAAAAUCCAGUCUCACCCCUGCAAAAAAUACCAACAUAUCGGUCAUCCCUGAAGUAUAAUAUCAGUGUGUAGCAGAGUCCUAAGUGUUUGGAGAUCAAAUCUUUACAAUGUAAUUUCAUCUGAUUAGUUUAUAAAUGCAUGAGUCAUGAUGAGAGAGUGGGACAAACGGAAAAACACUAAUUUAUGAGGAUAUUUAGCACAGAGACUCAUUACAGCCCAUAAUAAGCAGCUGUAUUUACAGUUCUGAGUCACAACUCCUCCAACUUCUGUCAUUACAAGUCUUCAAACUGAACAAACAUCAGCUGCUCAGUGUUAGAGGCCGGUUUGUCACCUUUUAACAGAGCCAGUCUUUAAGCUAAGCUAACUAGCUGUAGCCACAUGCUAACUGCACAGAUCCACUUAACAACUCCCAGUGAGCACGUCUCCCAAAAGACGUAGAUUAAAAGAACCAGCGUGCAAAAAAGUCUAUUUCCAGGAGUGAUUUUAUUCCCCCGAUCUGGUCAGAUUGCAGCCUGAAGUUGUUCCAGACUCCUCAGCUGAGGCCCAGGGAGCAGUUUUAAGCCCAACGUUAACCGAGAUAUGAGACUGAGUCACAUCACCUGAAGCCGUACGAAGUGUUUACGAGGGUUUUACCAGAGGAGGCCGAGUCGAAGAGUGAAAAGCUGUUUUUUUAGACACAAAACGGCAUCAAAAUGACAGAAAAUUAUCAAAACUAUACAGAAAAGAACAUAAAAUGACAGAAAAAAACAAAAUUAGACACAAAACAACAUAAAAUGACAGGAAAAAAGCAAAAUUAGAGACAAAACAACAUAAAAUGACAGGAAAAAAAGCAAAAUGAGAGACAAAACAACAUAAAAUGACAGACAAUAACCAAAAUUAGACACAAAAUAACAUAAAUCGACAGAAAAUAACCAAAAUUAGACAAAGAUAAAACAAUCUAUGUGGUUAGAGGCUGUUAUUACGUGAAACUGGCCUGACUUAAACCUGCUUUAAUCAGGACAUCAGUGGGAAAAGGGUGGCGUUCUGUCAGGUGUGGAGAUUUUAAAGCAGAUAGAAUAAAAACGCAGGGAAGGUAAUUUAUCCUGGUGUGAGAUGAACACUAAACAGGAAGGUCAGGAUCCAGAGCUAUAAGAGGAAUUUUUAUCAGGAUUCUCGGUCAUUCGGGUCACAUCAGGAGCAUUUAAUCCACCUAAUGAAAUGUACCACUGCAAGACAAAAAUUCAUUUAUAGAUAAAAACGAACCUUUUAAGUCAUAACUGUCAGUUUAACUUCAUUCAUGACGUCCUCCUGGUGUGAAAGUCACACUUUUGACAUUAUCAAAUCAUUAAAAUGCAAGUCUAGGAAUGCAAAAGGUAAAUAAGGGAAAGUGAAAUUAACAAAAAUGCAUAAAUAUACACAAAUUUAUCAGUAAAUUUAGCACAGAGACGCUGUAAAGCUCCACUUUUGAUGUUAUCUCAUGUAGUAACAGGUUAAAAAGUCUACUUAAACUGUGAAUACUGAACUAAAACUUGCCUUUUAAAAAUCCCAUUGCAUUAAAAUCAAAUUAUCCAUCAGAAUAUACUUGAUAUCCUCCCAAAAUCAGACCAUUUGACUUCAUAACAACCACAAGUUCAUAGUAAUAUUAAAAAUACCUCAAAUAAAUUUACUAGAUGGUGAGUAAAGCUGAAAAAAUCCACUUAGAGACGUUUAUUUGCUCUAAAUUUAGGGCACCAACGAUUCCACCACUCAAUAAAAUGCAUUUUUGCACAACUAAAACUUUUUAAAAACUUUAAAUUUCCUGAUUUAGAUUGACGCUGCAAACAUUAUUCUGAUGGUUGAUAUAAUUAUGUUGCAUCAGCUUAAUAUUGUGUAAUUUGAACUUAAACUUCUGCACUAGUUGGUUUAAAAUGUAAUAAAAUUGGCACCGAAGCUUAAAUUUUCUCCAUUUUUCAAGUCAAUCUUUAUCGUCAAGCUAUCGGACACUUGUGAGCUUUACAAGAACCGAAAUCAAACAGGAAACUCAUUGAUUAUUGGUGGAAAGCGACCAAUCGAUUCGUCAAUAUGAUGAGAAUUAAACAGUCAAAUAUUCUUUGGUUGUAGCUUCUCAAAUUUGGCCGUUUAAUCUGCUGGUUCACUGACUUUCUUUGGGUUUUAGACAAAUAAAUGAACUUCUAUAUCUCUGCCUAGCAUAGCAUUUUGACAUUUUAUUGGUAAAAUAAUUAAUUAAUAAAACAUCUGGCAAGUUAAUCAGCCACAAAAAUAGUUUUUAGUUGCAGCCCAACUGGGAAAACAACAAGAAUUUUGUGUAAUCUGUGAUAAAUGUUCUGUAAUAAGGCAAAGUUUAAUGAUAAAAUGUCCAAGAAAAUACAUUAAAAAAUAGACAAAACACAAGAAAUCAAGAAAAUACAGUGACUAGUUUGUAAUAUUUAGGGUAAAAGGUGACAAAGACGGUAAAUUUACUACAGUUUGGCAAAAUAAAUGGAAUAAAAUGUGCCACAAAGACAUUUUUCAUGUGUUGUUUUUGGAAGAAAAAUGUAUCAGUGAGUAUUUAAUUGGCAAAAUAAUAAAUUAACUAAAUAUCUAGUAAAUUAAUCAACAAUAAAAAAUAGUUUUAAGAUGCAUACCGAAUGGAAAAACUACAAAAAUCUUGGAAUAAUGUGGAAUCUGUGAUAAAUGCUCUGUAUAAUGUGUCGUAGGUGAUAAAAUAAACAAGAAAACACAUAAAAAAAAAAAAAAAUCAACAAAACUAGAAAAUAUUGGAAUAUAGGAGCAACUUCAGUUGGUUAAAUUUGCCAAACUUAAAAAUUUAUGCUCAUAAUUACGAUAAAAAGGCAUUUAAGGUCAAACUAAUAGUGGGAACAACUGAAAAACUUGUGAUCAUAAACCAUUAUUUAAGACGUAAUUAAUCCAAAAUCAAAAACACAUCUGAGUGCAGAGAAAAAGCUGAUUCCACAAAGAUUAAGUUUAAUAGCAAACAUUCAGACUCUCCUGAAGUCUAAACAACAUUUAUAGAUGGUUUAAAAUCACCUGCAGUAAUAACUUAGUGAUAAUUGCAGCAGUUCGUGUUAAAAAGCUUAAAGGAAGGUGAACUCUGUGUUAGAUAACAAACAGAACAUUUUAAUUAGCAUCGCCUUGCAGCUGAAAACUCACUGGAGCUGCGUUUAUAACCAAUCUGCUGACCAGGAGGCAUUUAACUCAACAGAUACGCUGAAAAAACAACAAGAACUGAACUCAUUGGGCACUGAGAGUUUGGUUUAACGUUAAAAAUGGCUUUUUAAGUGGCCACCGUGAGAGAAACUGCCUUUCUGUUCACAUAUUAACACCUCUGAUACUCUGCUGUGUCUCUGCUGAGAAACCCGGCCAGAUUAAGUUUAGGAUGAAUGCCUCCCCUAAUCAAUACCAAAAGGUUUCCGCUUUAAAAAACAACAACCAGAUCUGAAGCUAAAUGCUAAAGGACCGCAUGUGACGCAAAAACAGCCAAAAUCACAGCUUCAACUUCACCCAAAAUGAUCAAAAUUAGACACAAAAUGAUGGAAAAUUACCAAAAUUAGACACAAAAUGAGAGAAAAUAACCAAAAUUAGACCUAAAACUGCAUCAAAAUGACAGAAAAUUAUCAAAAUUCUAAAAAAACAGCCCGAAUCACAGCUUCAGCUUCGCUCAAAUGUGGCCAAAGUUCUAGAAACCGGCCGCUGGGAAAGACGUUGCUUCAUCCUCUGGUCUCUACUUGUACAAUUAGACUCCAAACGAGGAGCUGAGCAGAUAAUCGAUUCACAACUGAAGUCACAAUUUGAAACAAUGCAAUUACCAAACCACAAAAGGCUGCGAUCUGGGAGGUGUGAAAUAAUGACACUAAUUCAAUCGUGUUUAAUUUGAGCAAACUGAAACUUUCAGGGGAUGUUUGUGCUGCUCCUUCAUCGACAAGACGACGUGGAUCAGAGGCUGAACUUCUGAAAGUUUCAUUAUUUAAUACACACAUUUAGAACAUUUAGCAGAUGUCUGACUCAAAGUUCAAACCGUUUUUUAUAUAAAUUCAGACUGUCCUCCUUGUGUGACAGUCACACUUUUGAUGCUAUAAUGUGGUAAUUCUCCCUAAUAUGUUAUAAACUGAUUUAAAACUGUAAACAUUGAAGUGGAGCUGAACUUCAGAUCAGAGGUGUCAAACUCUUUUUAGUUCAGCCCAAUUUUAUCUCCAGUGGGCCGGAGCAGUAAAGUCACAGCACAAUAACCUAUAAACAACUCAAAAGGUUUCCGUUGUUUUAGUGCAAAAAAGUACAUUCUGAAUGGACAAACGACAAAAAAUUACACAAACGAGAAAUAAAACGAUAAAAAAUGAGGCAAACAACACAAAACAAAAAAGACAAAAAAUUGGACAAAAAAGUUACAAAGUGACAAAAAAUGACAAAAUAAAACAAAAAAGACACAAAAAACUAGACAGAAAAGUUACAAAGUGACAAAAAAUGGACAAACGACAAAGAAGAGACAAAAAAUGACAAAAACGAGAAACAAAACGACAAAAAAUGAGACAAACGACAAAACGAAACAAAAAAGAGAUAAAAAAUUAGACAAAAAAGUUAGAAAGCAACAAAAAAAUGGAUAAAUGACAAAAAAAGAUACACAAAACAAUGAAUAAAGCAAAACACAAAAUGACAAAAAUAAGACAAAAAACACAAGCAACACAAAACGACAAAAACAUGACAAAAUAUUACAAAAAUGAGACGAAAAAUGACAAAAAAAAUGGGAUUAAAAAAUUAGACCAAAAAGUUACAUAGCAACAAAAAUUGGACAAACGACACAAACUAGACAAAAAAUGACAAAAGCGCGAAGCAAAACAACAUAAAAGUAGACAAAACGACAAAAACGAGAAAUAAAGUGGCAAAAACAUGAGACGAAAGACAAAACUCAGAUCAAAAAAAGACAAAAGACGACAAAAAUGACAAAAUAAUACAAAACUGAGACACAAAAUGACAAAACAACAAUGAACAAUCUAGUAUUUUACUUCAAAACAACUUGUCAUGGUCUAGAAAUUAUUUUAAAUUUAUAGUUUUACUAAUUUAUAAUCUGCAGUUAAUGUCUUCUCUGGAAUUUUUACACUUUGAGGACCGGAUUGGACCCUCUGGAGGACCGCUUAUGGCCCACGGGCCGCAUGUUUGAUACCCCUGACUGGAUUCCAGGUUGAUCCGUUAGCUUUAGCUCUUUACUGCAGCUGUUUGUCCACAUCUGUAUUCAGGAAAACGUCCCAGAACUUACAGUCAGAUGAAGGUUUUAUGAGAUAAUCACACGAAGACCCGUCCUGUCAGAGAUCAGGCCCAUAAUCAGGAGAUAAUAACCUUCAUUAGUCGACAAAUCUAACGUUUCUCCUCCACACCUUUCAUUUCCUGGAUCAGAACGUCGAGGUCGAGGAGCAGAAUUAUGUGAUAGAGAGAUAACUGUUGGAUCUCCUCAUUUAAUAUCCUAAAGUCCUCUCUGAAAUGGAAAUACGCCACUAAUUAGACCGGCCCGAGUUCCUCAAGCUAUCAGACGCUCCUGAGCUUUAACUGAAAUCAAACAGGAAACUCAUUGAUUAUUGGUGGAAAACGACCAAUGGAUUCGUCAAUGGGCAGAGACUUAAACGGUCAAACGUUCUUUGGUUCUAGCUUCUCAAACUUGGCAAACAGAUUAACUUUUACAUCUCUGCUUUUUCAUAGUUUUCUUAUAUUUUAUUGCUAAAAUACUUAAUAAAAUAUCUGGCAAGUUAAUCAACUAUAAAAAUAGUUUAAAGAUGCAGCCCAAAAUGGAAAAACAGCAAGAAUCUGUAGAAGAAUGUAUAAUCUGUGAUAAAUGUUUCACAAUGGUCUGUGAAGCGGCAAUGUUUAGUGAUAAAAUGUCCAAGAAAACACAAGAAAUCUAGAAAGUACGGUGACUAGUUUGUAGUAUUCAGGUUAAAAAGUGACAAAGACGGUACAUUUACUACAGUUUGGUGAAAUAAAUGGAAGAAAAUGAAAUAUUUCAUGUGGUGCUUUUGGAAGAAAAACAGAUAUGUGAAUAUUUUAUUCAUAUUUGGUCGACAUUUAGUCAUGAGGACACGUUUCUCCUCGACGAGCUUCCAAAUUUACAGGCCAAGAAACAUAAAACGUGUCUAAAUCCUGCGAUCAGCUUCAGACGGUUUAGUUUUGGAGCCAGAGGAACAUAUUGAGACGGGAUAAACGUUGGGAUUGGAACAUUCAGGUGUCUAUGCAAGCUGGUGCGGUUUGGUCAUAGUUUGAACCCAGCAUGUGUGCAUUUAGUCAUCAUCAUCUCACCUGCAGGAAGGUAGAAGAUCUCUAGGAGGCUGCUGCAGUGUGUUUAACACCCAUCAUCAGACAGCAACUAUUAACGAACAUGUAAAAUAUUUCUACAGUUCAGGUGUUGAGAAAUAUCCAUGUGAGUUGUUGGCCAGCCUUGCUUUUAUUCUGCAUGACGCUUUGUUUUUUGAGAAAUAUGCAUCCGAACCCAAGGUAUGUUUGUAUUCUUUCUCCUGAGGGUGCUCCUCUCUGUAUCUUCGUCACUUUCUGACCUGAAUUCUCCUGGUUUUUUGUUGUUUUCUUCUCUGUUUUAAUUGAUUUUGUUGGGGUUUUUUUUGGUUUUGGUUUUUUUUUUGGUAAGAACCUUCCGACUUCUGGAUUUUCUACAUUCAUAACAUUUUGUAGACAGCAAUAUGAGAUGUGAUUGAAAAAUGGAAUAUGUGCAAUGUUGAUUAAAGAAAAAUAUAAUAUAUUCAAUAAAAAUUCAGAAAACAGAA